GGUGAAUCCACUUGUUCAGUAUCACACAGCUAGCAAGUUCCUGAUUUCCUCCUGACUCCAGGGCCAGUGAUCCAGAGGUAUGCUGGAUAUCACUACUCUGUUACUGUGUCUUCUGCUAGGGAGCAAGCCACUCUCCACUGAAAUAGGUUGCGCAAGAUGGAAAGGCCAAUGUUGAGAAGCAAAUGCCUGGCCAUCACCUUCCAGAGCUCUACCUAUGACAGCACUACUUUUCUCAACUUGGCUAAUAUGGAAAUAUGUUUUGCAUGACUUCACAUGUAUUAUAUUGCUUGCCAUCUAAAUGGGUGGUAGACAGGCAGGAGGGUAUCAGAAUUUGGAAUUGAAAAAAAAUUUUUAAUAGAACAUUAAAUGAUCCAAGGCAGUUCCAAAAGACUUAUGAUGGAAUAUGCUCUCCACAUCCAGCAAAACAACUAUGGAGCCU